GACGAACGCUGGCGGCGUGCUUAACACAUGCAAGUCGAACGAAGUGGCGAACGGGUGAGUAACGCGUAAUCAACCUGCCCUUCAGAGGGGGACAACAGUUGGAAACGACUGCUAAUACCGCAUACUGAAGGAGGGGAUUGCGUUGGGUUAGCAAGUUGGAGGGGUAACGGCCCACCAAGGCGAGGAUCAGCAGCCGGGCUGGGAAGAUGAACGGCCAAACUGGGAAUGAGGCACGGCCCAGACUCCUUCGGGAGGGAGCAGGGGGGAAUCUUCCGCAAUGGACGAAAGUCUGACGGAGCAACGCCGGGUGAGGGAUGACGGCCUUCGGGUUGUAAAGGUAUGUUAAUCGGGACGCGGUACCGGAAUAGAAAGCCACGGCUAACUACGUGCCAGCAGCCGCGGUAAUAC
rnacentral:rRNA from 1 species